UCCUUAAGAGUGCCGAAUCUUAAUAAUAUUUAAGUACGGGGGAACACAUUGUGGGUGAAUCUUACGACUAUUCGUAAGUAGGGUGCCUUCAACCCGAAUCCGUAAGCUAACCUCGGAGGCAAAAUUGAUAAAGGAA
rnacentral:sRNA from 21 species